GGGUCCACCACCACCACAGUGUCGCUGGUGUGGGGGUCUGUAAGUGAUCAAUUGGUCGUGAAGGUUUUUCAGCUGGGUUUUUCUCCUUCACCUGAUUGGC